rnacentral:sRNA from 1 species
AGAUGCGAAGCUGACCUGUUAGCGACAUCUGUCACUCCAUUGGUCACCAGGUCUGGUUCUGCCCGCCUGAGCAGGUGGGGGUUCCCUGUCUCCUUCCUCCCUGCACCAUUCCUGGUGCACUCAGUGGAAGAGGAUGACCUUAUUCCGUAAAUAGAGUUGGGCUGGUUUCCGUGUUGAUGCGGCACACAUACACAAGCAGCUGUGCUCCCUGCUGGAACCUCCAGACAAACUCUCAAGAGUUGCCAUCGCUGCUGUAACUGCAUAGACUUAAGCACAGUGCCAUAUACUUCACU